AUUUUAUAGUCGUUCAAAUCUUUUUGCCUGGAAAUCCAACAACAUUCCAGGUGUUCUGAAUCCCAUGCACUGCCUGAUUAGAGUUGGCUUUUUAAGGAAGACAACAGGGAAUAUCAGACAUGUGGCCAAACAUCAUGUAAUCCUGGUUAGAUUUCUCAAUCUGUAAAAUCUGUUGCAUAAGUAUUUCAGUACGACCUUAGUGGAGAGACAUCCUUUUUGAAUCUUGCUUGUCCUGUUCAUGCACAAUGGUCUCACUUUGAACCACAUUAAUGACAGCUAACAAUAUAAGGAGUUGAACAAAGAAAAUGAAAGCAUAACUGGAUUGUGUUCUUCACCUUUGUCAUACUUCAAGUUCCAAAAAAUGAAGUCAAGGGAAAAAGAGGAAUUUCUUUUUUUGUGCUCAUGCUAUCAGUAAAAAUCUAGUUAUCAGAAACCAUCCAACCUUCACAAGAGGAACAUCUAUUUUCCUGUGAACUUGAAAAUGUCAGUCAGGUGCCAUUUUAUAUUCAGGCAUCUGAGGAGUUUUAUUUUGUGGCAUUGUGACCUGGUCUUUUCCCUUCCUAUGACAAAAAUCCAUUGCCUAUCUGCUUGAAAUAUACUGACGAUUUCUCAACAUCAGCCAUAUGAUGCACAGGAUUUCUGUAUCUAGAUGACAGAUCAGAGUCUUCAAAUCACCAAAUUGCAGCCGCGCUCUAAUCAGCAAGAUCCUCAAGGAGAUGUGUAUCCAGGCAACCCUGCGGAGAAGCAUCAGCAAAGGAAAUUGCUUGGCGCUGUAGUCAGCUAGAGGAGACC